AAUCCUACAUCAUCUCUACCCGUCUCUCUCUCAACAUCCACAGUCGCCCGACCUUGCCGUUCUGUCCUCUAUUUCAGAGUUCCAUCUUCUUUCCGUCCACUUCGAACCCUCCAUCCCGUCAAAUCUGAAUGUUGUGUCUUCAUCUUAGUGGUUAAUCAACUUAUCGGAGUAGGGCUUGAUGAUAAAUCGUUUGGGUUGUAUUUUGUAUUUCUCCCCAAUUUGUUUUUGUGCUGAUUUGAUUUCGGCCACAUCCAAUUCUAGAGAAAUAAUUGUUGGAAUUGAAUAAUUAUUUUUCAAAGCAAGCUCGGUUUCUUAGUAACGACGUUAAACCUAUAGUGGAAAUAUUAUGGCUGGAUGAGACUUGUGUUUACAGCUUUUUGUAUUAGUGGACACAUUAAGGCUAAAAUAGGUCUGUUGUUGACAAAAUUUUUGUGUUCCUUGAUAUCAAAGGACAAUAACUAAGAGUUCAGAUUUGUGAUUUUUCCAAAUGCAUGCAAGAAUGUAUUUACUAAUAGCCCUUCUGUAUGAGAGACAGAGAGAAUGUUCUAUGUAUGUUUCUGAACAGAUUUUGUAGUCUUCUAAAGGCCUCAUGAAUGGUCUAUGUAUGUGCUGAACGUUAGUGCUUUGUUUGAUUAAUAGUGGCUUUGCGGACACCAUGAGAGCCAUAAAUAGGACUAGUUCCAUUAAUUAGUGAAA